AACGAACGCUGGCGGCAGGCUUAACACAUGCAAGUCGAACGCCCCGCAAGGGGAGUGGCAGACGGGUGAGUAACGCGUGGGAAUCUACUGUACCCUACGGAACAACAGCUGGAAACGACUGCUAAUACCGUAUACGCCUGACGGGAGAAAGAUAUAUCGGGGUAGGAUGAGCUCGCGUUGGAUUAGCUAGUUGGUUGGGUAAAGGACUAACAAGGCGACGAUACAUAGCUGGUCUGAGAGGAUGCUCAGCCACAUUGGGAAUGAGACACGGCCCAGACUCCCACGGGAGGCAGCAGUGGGGAAUAUUGGACAAUGGGCGCAAGCCUGAUCCAGCCAUGCCGCGUGAGUGAUGAAGGUCUUAGGAUUGUAAAGCUCUUUCACCGAUGAAGAUAAUGACGGUAGUCGGAGAAGAAGCCCCGGCUAACUUCGUGCCAGCCGCCGCAGUAA
rnacentral:rRNA from 1 species